AUUGAACGCUGGCGGCAGGCCUAACACAUGCAAGUCGAACGGUAACAGGAAGAAGCUUGCUUCUUUGCUGACGAGUGGCGGACGGGUGAGUAAUGUCUGGGAAACUGCCUGAUGGAGGGGGAUAACUACUGGAAACGGUAGCUAAUACCGCAUAACGUCGCAAGACCAAAGAGGGGGACCUUCGGGCCUCUUGCCAUCGGAUGUGCCCAGAUGGGAUUAGCUAGUAGGUGGGGUAACGGCUCACCUAGGCGACGAUCCCUAGCUGGUCUGAGAGGAUGACCAGCCACACUGGAACUGAGACACGGUCCAGACUCCUACGGGAGGCAGCAGUGGGGAAUAUUGCACAAUGGGCGCAAGACUGAUGCAGCCAUGCCGCGUGUAUGAAGAAGGCCUUCGGGUUGUAAAGUACUUUCAGCGGGGAGGAAGGGAGUAAAGUUAAUACCUUUGCUAAUUGACGUUACCCGCAGAAGAAGCACCGGCUAACUCCGUG
rnacentral:rRNA from 1 species